AUAUGAAGUACAUUCAGAGAAAAGACUCCAGAAUGGUGUGAGAAAAAAACUAUAGAGGCAAGUCCAGAAAACUGAAACCCUAUGACCAAAGGAGACCGAGAAGGACACAAUCACCAACUGUACAUACCUGAAGGGUUGUCAUGGAGAGUGUCAAAGAAGCAAAUGGAAGCUCAGAGAAACAUGGCAGCUCUGGACUGUGCUUCACCCAGUUCCUACCACCUCCCCAGGGCCCGUGCACGACUAGAAAAUGGAGACCAGGAGGGGCAUGUCCUGCCCUGCAUCUCCUGAGCCACUGGGGAAAAGGGACUGGAGCUCCAGCCUCCUGGCUCCUCUUCUGAUGCACACUCCAAGGCAUCCGGCUGUUUCCUUCUCCAACAAAGCCAGCCCCUUGCAAACCUCUUCCCAUGGCAAUGUGCCAUGAGUCGCUAAUACUUAUGACAACACUGCAUAGGAAUUGAGUGUAUUUGAUUUUCCUUAUGAAGAGAUGCAUAAAAAAGAUCAAAGCAUUUACAAUUUGAUGAUGUUCCUAAAUGCAAGUUCAAAUUGCUGAGUUAAACAGCCAGCAAUUUUUUUAGAGGGCUUUCCAGAGCAAUUAU